UAUAUAUUUUGGGUGCUUUUGUUGUACAAGUCUGAAGGGACAGAUUCACCCUUUAAAGAGCCACCACAGGGUUAACCAACCAGAUUGAUGGGCUGGACAUCCAAUCCAAGGGGUGUUUUAAGGAAGUGAGCAGCAAGUGAAGGUGAGCAGGAGCUGCUUUCUAUUCACGUGCUGAAUUCCCUGUGCCUGUUUAGUCUCCUUGUGUAAUGGAUGCUGUAACUACUAAACUUUCUAAUUUCUUCAACUAGCUGCUGCCAUUCCAUGAACAUCGGGGGACCCAACUUUUUCCAAUGUCUGGGAAUUAAUGAUCUAGCUUCUUGCUGCAUUUAACAAAUUCAAAAUGAUUUGUGUGUUGAAGCCAGGAUCUUGUUCCACAUUAAAGGGGUAUAAAACCUGCCUGAUCCUCAUGAAUUCAGUAAGUAUCUUCGGUUUUGUAAUGGAAAUGGAAGUUACUCACCUCCAAGAUGGCCACGGCGUCCAAGAUGGCGACUCCUUGCUUCCCCAUGUGGAUCCCGUCGGUCACAGCAUGAUGACGUCAGCAUCUUCUCGCCCGCUGAUUGGUCGCCGGCGACGGAAUGGUCGCCGGCGUCAGAACGUGCGUCGGCGUCCUGACGCCAGCGUCUUGACGCCGGCGUCAGCGUCAUGACGUCAUUGCGCCCAAACUUUGGCGCCAAUUCUGCCUAUUUAAGCCCUCUGGACACUACAGACUUUGCCCAAGUAUAGGUUUAUCUUCGUGAAUUCCUGGGUGUGAUAUUAUUGACUGAUUUCCUGUGUACCUACCUUGCCUGUUAUUCGGAUUGACCCUUUGCUGCCUGGAUUGAACCUUUUGCCUGAACCUCGACUAUUCUCUUGCCUUAUCCUUCUGUUACCACGAACUCGGCUACUACCUGCCUCCUCCUUGGUCCGCACUCCUACUGUGCCUUCGGGCCCUUACAGGUUUCAAAUGACCCCAUCUAAAAACAAAUGGUCUGUAAGGCAACACGUUUAUUGUUAAUGAUACUUUUUAUGACUCCUCUUUCUAUUCAUAUUCCAGUCUCCUAUUCAAAUCAGAGCAUGGUUGCUAGGGUAAUU